rfam:Picea glauca, whole genome shotgun sequence.
AUGUACAUUCCUACAACGUUAAUGCAAUGGAUCCCAUUAGAAAUUUAUAGUUAACCAUGCUUGGGAUAGAGUAGCAAUGGGAUGGGUGAACUCUCAGAAAGUCCUAGUGUUUUACAUG